rnacentral:lncRNA from 1 species
AUGUUUUUUGUAUCCACUGGCUUAUGCACAGCAUUAACGCUGUCCAAAUGGAGAGAAAGACCAGAAGAAGAAAGAAACAGAGAAGACAAUAUUGAUCAGCACCUUUCAUCAUCAAUACUGGUGGCUUUCAUCUUCAAUACUGGUGGCUUUCAUCUUCAAUACUGGUGGCUUUUGUCUUCAAUACUGCUGGCUUUCAUCUUCAAUACUGGUGGCUUUAUACUGGUGGCUUUCAUCUUCAAUACUGGUGGCUUUCAUAUUCAAUACUGGUGGCUUUAUACUGGUGGCUUUUGUCUUCAAUACUGGUGGCUUUCAUAUUCAAUACUGGUGGCUUUAUACUGGUGGCUUUUGUCUUCAAUACUGCUGGCUUUCAUCUUCAAUACUGGUGGCUUUCAUCUUCAAUACUGGUGGCUUUUAUCUUCAAUACUGGUGGCUUUAUACUGGUGGCUUUCAUCAUCAAUACUGGUGGCUUUCAUCAUCAAUACUGGUGGCUUUCAUCUUCAAUACUGGUGGCUUUCAUCUUCAAUACUGGUGGCUUUCAGCUUCAAUACUGGUGGCUUUAUACUGGUGGCUUUCAUCAUCAAUACUGGUGGCUUUCAUCUUCAAUACUGGUGGCUUUCAUAUUCAAUACUGGUGGCUUUAUACUGGUGGCUUUCAUCAUCAAUACUGGUGGCUUUCAUCAUCAAUACUGGUGGCUUUCAUCUUCAAUACUGGUGGCUUUCAUCUUCAAUACAGGUGGCUUUAUACUGCUGGCUUUCAUCUUCAAUACUGGUGGCUUUAUACUGGUGGCUUUCAUCUUCAAUACUGGUGGCUUUCAUCAUCAAUACUGGUGGCUUUCAUCUUCAAUACUGGUGGCUUUCAUCUUCAAUACUGGUGGCUUUCAUCUUCAAUACUGGUGGCUUUAUACUGGUGGCUUUCAUCUUCAAUACUGGUGGCUUUAUACUGGUGGCUUUCAUCUUCAAUACUGGUGGCUUUAUACUGGUGGCUUUCAUCAUCAAUACUGGUGGCUUUAUACUGGUGGUUUUCAUCUUCAAUACUGGUGGCUUUAUACUGGUGGCUUUCAUCUUCAAUACUGGUGGCUUUAUACUGGUGGCUUUCAUCUUCAAUACUGGUGGCUUUAUACUGGUGGCUUUCAUCUUCAAUACUGGUGGCUUUAUACUGGUGGCUUUCAUCUUCAAUACUGGUGGCUUUAUACUGGUGGCUUUCAUCAUCAAUACUGGUAGCUUUAUACUGGUGGCUUUCAUCAUCAAUACUGGUGGCUUUCAUCAUCAAUACUGGUCUGUCUGUAAAUAG